rnacentral:rRNA from 1 species
UACGUAGGGCGCAAGCGUUAUCCGGAAUUAUUGGGCGUAAAGAGCUCGUAGGCGGUUUGUCGCGUCUGCCGUGAAAGUCCGGGCUCAACUCCGGAUCUGCGGUGGUACGGGCAGACUAGAGUGAUGUAGGGGAGACUGGAAUUCCUGGUGUAGCGGUGAAAUGCGCAGAUAUCAGGAGGAACACCGGUGGCGAAGGCGGUCUCUGGGACGGUACUGACGCUGAGACGCGAAGCGUGGGGAGCGAACAGGAUAGAU